GACGAACGCUGGCGGCGUGCUUAACACAUGCAAGUCGAACGGAAAGGCCCUGCUUUUGUGGGGUGCUCGAGUGGCGAACGGGUGAGUAACACGUGAGUAACCUGCCCUUGACUUUGGGAUAACUUCAGGAAACUGGGGCUAAUACCGGAUAGGAGCUCCUGCUGCACGGUGGGGGUUGGAAAGUUUCGGCGGUUGGGGAUGGACUCGCGGCUUAUCAGCUUGUUGGUGGGGUAGUGGCUUACCAAGGCUUUGACGGGUAGCCGGCCUAAGAGGGUGACCGGCCACAUUGGGACUGAGGUACGGCCCAGACUCCUACGGGAGGCAGCAGUGGGGAAUAUUGCACAAUGGGCGGAAGCCUGAUGCAGCAACGCCGCGUGCGGGAUGACGGCCUUCGGGUUGUAAACCGCUUUCGCCUGUGACGAGGCGUGAGUGGCGGUAAUGGGUAAAGAAGCACCGGCUAACUACGUG
rnacentral:rRNA from 1 species